rnacentral:lncRNA from 1 species
GAUUAACUCUCCCCUGCCCAUUUUUAGAUUUAACCUCAAGAAGCACCUCACUUAUCCUUAAGUGGGGAGGUCUAUGACCCACCUGUGCAAAAGUGGGUGAUGUAUCAAAAACCACUGACUGCCUCUUUGACAGUCCCAAGCAAAAUUAUAAACCAUAAUUGAUCCAUGUAAAAGCAGAGGAAGGCACAGGAAGUGACAAAAAGAAGUAUCUUUAAAAGAAAUUACCACUUCCUUUGAAAUAAGGUCUUUGUUCUUUGGAGUUCUGAAUUCCAGUUGGGUCUUUCAUCUUGGAGGAGCUCUGGCUGAGGACUGCUUUCUACUGGGACUACCACAUGGGAGUGUUGACAAGAAAGAUGGAAUUGAAUCUGACCAGCUGAACUUGCUCCAGAAGAGACAUGUACUGAAUUAAAAAGAGAGAGGAGGGAUCAUCAUCAAUGUAGCUGUGAAUGUGACCAGAUGGCCAGUCACACAUGCUCACACCCGACUGAGAAACAGUAAGAUAAAGAAAUAGACAAUGAGAGGCAAAAUGACUAUCAAAGUAAAAAAGGCAAAUGCAGCAGAAUACUUCAUUCACAUCAGGGUCGGAAAGUGACAUUCAGAUGAGUUCGGACACAGGCAGUCAGCUCAGGCUUGGAGUGAAGAUCAGUCACUUGGAGCUGAAGGGAAGAUGGACAUUUGGUCAGUCACCCAAGCUUGGAGUGAAGGACAGAAGACAGACUCAGAGGAGUGACUGGAAGACCAACGCCCAGAUUCUUUUAGACUGUUUCCAUUGGCAUAUGAGCCGGGAAGAAAUUCUUUUGACUCUGGAGGAGAGGAAAUGUAAAGCAGCAAGCAGGUAACUAAAUAUUUCAGUCACCUCUAUCCAAACCAUUUGCUGAAGAGGAGACAAAGGCCAGACAGCUGUCAACACCUAAAGUGACUAAAGACCACACUAGAGAAAUGAUCUACAGUAAUUGUACCUCCAGUGUCAGCUGGGAGUUGAUCGGUUCUUGGGACAGAGAAAAUCCAGGAAUGUUGUACAGACUCUCACUCAGGAUGAAACAAACUAAAACACAAGAGAUCAGUGUUCAAUAAACUGAACAAGGCAAAGUCUUUAUAUAUUAUU